ACAUACACACACACUCUCAGACACUGUCACCCUUUCUUUCCCUCUGUCUCUUCCCUGUCUCUCUCUCUCUCCCCCGAGCUCCAUUCCUCCUUCUUCCCUCUGUAAACGUACGGACAAACCCACAACCCACCAAAUCCUCACAGAUCGUAGAAACCAACUACACCAUUGAACUCGUGAGGUCGAGGCGAGCACAGCCAUACCCUUUACAGCUCGUAGGCAGCUUGGUGGUGCCACGAGGAGACUCGGAGUACUUUGUUGGACGAUUUUGGACGUCGGGAUCACCGUGGUCGAAGUUGGUCGAGUUUUGGAUUGUGAGACAGGUGGCACGUAUCCCGAGGACGAGCGUGCACAUUCGAGGCAGGGGGGCUACGACCCUUCCAC